GGGCCCGCACAAGCAGUGGAGCAUGUGGUUUAAUUCGAAGAUACGCGCAGAACCUUACCAACGCUUGACAUGUUCGUCGCGAAACUAAGAGAUUAGUUUCUUCAGUUCGGCUGGACGAAACACAGGUGCUGCAUGGCUGUCGUCAGCUCGUGUCGUGAGAUGUUGGGUUAAGUCCCGCAACGAGCGCAACCCACGUCUUUAGUUGCCAGCAUUUAGUUGGGCACUCUAGAGAGACUGCCGGUGAUAAACCGGAGGAAGGUGUGGAUGACGUCAAGUCAUCAUGCCCCUUACAUCCUGGGCUACACACGUACUACAAUGCUACGGACAAAGGGCAGCAAGUUCGCGAGGACAAGCAAAUCCCAUAAACCGUGGCUCAGUUCAGAUCGUAGGCUGCAACUCGCCUACGUGAAGGCGGAAUCGCUAGUAAUCGC
rnacentral:rRNA from 1 species